rnacentral:tRNA from 1 species
GGGCUGAGGCUCAGUGGUAAAGCACUUGCCUUGCAUGCGUGAGGCCCUGGGUUCAAUUCUCAGCAGCACA